GGGCCCGCACAAGCGGUGGAGUAUGUGGUUUAAUUCGAUGCAACGCGAAGAACCUUACCAGGGUUUGACAUCCUGCGAAUUUCUUGGAAACGAGAAAGUGCCUUCGGGAACGCAGUGACAGGUGGUGCAUGGCUGUCGUCAGCUCGUGUCGUGAGAUGUUGGUUAAGUCCCGCAACGAGCGCAACCCACGUCUUUAGUUGCCAGCAUUUAGUUGGGCACUCUAGAGAGACUGCCGGUGAUAAACCGGAGGAAGGUGUGGAUGACGUCAAGUCAUCAUGCCCCUUACAUCCUGGGCUACACACGUACUACAAUGCUACGGACAAAGGGCAGCAAGUUCGCGAGGAC
rnacentral:rRNA from 1 species